rnacentral:rRNA from 1 species
ACGGGUGAGUAACGCGUGGGAACGUGCCUUUCGGUUCGGAAUAACUCAGGGAAACUUGAGCUAAUACCGGAUACGCCCUUAGGGGGAAAGAUUUAUUGCCGAAAGAUCGGCCCGCGUCCGAUUAGCUAGUUGGUGAGGUAAAGGCUCACCAAGGCGACGAUCGGUAGCUGGUCUGAGAGGAUGAUCAGCCACACUGGGACUGAGACACGGCCCAGACUCCUACGGGAGGCAGCAGGGGGGAAUAUUGGACAAUGGGCGCAAGCCUGAUUCAGCCAUGCCGCGUGAGUGAUGAAGGCCUUAGGGUUGUAAAGCUCUUUCGCCAGGGACGAUAAUGACGGUACCUGGAUAAGAAGCCCCGGCUAACUUCGUGCCAGCAGCCGCGGUAAUACGAAGGGGGCUAGCGUUGUUCGGAAUCACUGGGCGUAAAGCGCACGUAGGCGGAUUGUUAAGUCAGGGGUGAAAUCCCGAGGCUCAACCUCGGAACUGCCUUUGAUACUGGCGAUCUAGAGUCCGGGAGAGGUGAGUGGAACUGCGAGU